GGAGGAUGGAGGCGGGCGAGGCGGCGGCGCUGCGGGAGCUGCGGGCGGCGAUGCGGGAGGCGCUGGCCGGGCUGCCAGGCGGCGGAGAGGCCCGGCGGGAAGGCGGCGGCGGCGGCGGCGGCGGCUUCGAGCGGGCCGGUGUCUGGGACGCCCUCGCGGCGGCCUGCCAGGCUGCCUCCCGGGCCGCCACCCAGCUGAGCCUGGCCGCCUCGGGGCCGGCCCGGGCCUGGCCGCCGCAGGAGGGCCGGGGGGCCUCGGGGGCCGGGCCGGGCGCCUCGCCGCGCCGCGCCCUUCUUCGCCCGCAGGAGCUGCAGUGGCUGAGCGGGGAGGCGCAGAGGUCGGUGCGGGCCGCGGGCGCCGCCUGCCGGGGGCUGCCGGCCGAGCAGGGCAGGACGCUGGGCGCCGCCGUGCGCCGGGCCGUGGCGGGCCUGGCCGAGGGGAUGCUGCGCCUGAGCGAGGCCCUGCUGCGCGCCCCGGCGCCGGAGAGCUCGGGUCCGGAGCGGCUGGUCUCCACCGGGGCCGUCUGGGAGGCCUGCGAGCGGCUGGCCGGCCUGCCUCGAGAUAACCAGGCGGCCGUGGCGGCGGCUGUGGCCUCGGCGCUGGCGGUUGUCAAGGACGCCGUGGAGGAGAUGGAGCAGAAUGUCACGACAUUUGAUACGGUAUGGGGCAGGAGUUUAGCGGUGCUUCCGGAGGCCUCAGCUGCACCCGGCCUCCCUUCCGUUAGAGCCCUCUGGACGGAACAUGGACACUCCUUCCCUGGAGAUCCCCUGUGUGUGUGUGUGCAGGCGCUGGCAGAAGGUGGAGAUCCCGGCAGGGAUCCACUGGAGGAUGAAGAGAUGGGCUCCGGCGGGGACAGGGAUGUCUGCUGGACGGAGGCUGAGCGGCAGUUGCUUGGCCCCUGCAUGGGACUGGUGAAGGCAGCCAAAGCGUGCCUGAAGAAACUGCUGGGGGCAGUGAAAGCCCAGGGCAGAGUGGACACUGCCGAGCAGGUGGCUCAGCUGGAUGACCUGGCAGAAGCCGCUGGUGACGUCAGCCCCAGCGUGGACGAGUUGGUGCUCAGCACGUAUCCUCCUGUGAACCAGCUCACUCUGCGGCUGAAUGCUGGGAAGCUGGCCUCGGUGUUGAAGAAGGUGCUGGAGAUUGUCCGGGCCAGCCACGUGUGUGUUCCCUCUGAAGAGAGCUGGGUGCAGUUCCUCGCCGGAGCAAUCGAUCACAAUAUGGACAAAAUCAAGGACUUCACGCAGGGGGCACUUUGACGUUGCGCGUGGGGGGCACUGAGGACUUGCCCCACUGCUUCUGUGGGUGUAGAAGAGGCAGAAGGUUUCCCGGGGGAGGGAAUGAAGCCCGGCAGGCCAAGCGGUUCCUGGGGGCUGGGGAAGGGUGUGUGUGUGUGUGCUGCGCCCAGCCCUUGUGCAGGCAGUGGUGGACCCCAAGCAAUAAAGAACCUCUGGAGCCACGUGGGCCUGUCUGGUGUCAUGCGAGGCUGGAGCCAGAGGCGCCCCCCCCCCCAGGCUCUGAGCUGCCUCGGGGCAGUAAUGAGGUGGUCUGCUUCACGUGCCUUUCGUGGGAAAUGAGCAGUGCUGGAGGGGGCUGCUCUGGGGGUCAGGCCUCUGCUGCAGGCCCCGGGUUGCCUGGGAGUUUGAGAGGGGCUGGAGCAGGCUGAAGGGCUCGGAGCUGCCUGCUUGCACAGGCUUCAGGUGGAAGGGGGGGCCUGGGCCCAAGCCCCCCUCCUCGGCGCGUGCUGUCAAGGGCCGUUGGGCAGGCAGGUGUGCCUUCUUGCGCUCCUCUGGGUGGAGAAGCUGCUCCCACGUAUUCCCACCCCACCCCACCGCCGCCAUUGGAAGCAGUUUCAUGGGUGGGCGUUGGCCUUACUGUGUGUGCCGCAAGCCAGGUCUUCUCCUCCAGCUGGGAAAGGGCCUGAUGAGGGCUGACAGCAGCGUACCCCCGCAGCCUGGGUAUGGGGUGGGGAAAGGGUGGGCACAGUCAGUCACCAGUUCCCUGCUAGAUUUCCAGUUCGCUGACCCUGACCUUGGCUGCCUUUUCUGACGCACCGGCUGGAUGCUGGUGCCUCUGCCUUGGGUGGGCCUUGUGCAGCCUGCCUUCAGGGUGCCUUCGCUUGCCUGUCCAUCUCCCCCGUUUGGCUGGCAGCAAGGGAUUCCUUGAUCUCUCUCUCCCAGCAUUUGCCUGUGAAGGAGAGGGCAGGCACUGCCCAGGCCUGGCGCUCACAAAUCCUUGUCUGAACUGGUGGGCAGGAGGCUGGACUCUAGCUCUGGGUGCAGGGGUAUGUGUGCGCGUGCUUGCGCCUCUCUCUGCCGCACAAGCUGCCUGCCUGCGAGUUCCACUUCAGUUCACCUUCUGCACAUGACGGGGGGGGGGGGUCCCAUUUCCCACUUCCCACACAAGCCAUCGAGGCUGGGAUUGACAAAAAUGUGUUCGUUCUGUUUUAACGGAGAGUCCAGAGGAUGUUUGCUGGCCCAUCACACAUCUCUGGGGCUCAGUGCGGUUUCCCCAUGGCUUUUCAGACCUGGUUUGUGGACCCUUAUUUUUGGGGUUUGUGGCAGGAAAGCCUGCAAUGGGACUGGCUGCUGAGGUGGUGGGUCACGGCUUGCUCUUGCUCUGUGGCCUGGCACAUUUUAAAAUGCCUGGAAAUGCUGUCCAUGCCCUGUUGUUUUCUGAUGACCAGUGCAAAGAGGAAAUGUUCAGUUAAAAUACCUGUUUUGUUAUGGGGGGUGGUGGUAAUUCUUUCUUUGAUGAAUUUUUAAAAAUAAUUACUAGAAUUUCUGUUAAUGCUUAAGGGUGAAACUGUUUCACCAGAUGAAUAAUUAAUUGGUUACACUGAAGUGGGGUGGGGGUGGGGGAGAAAGCGCCACUUCGUAACUUUUUGUGUUUAAGUGUAAUGGAGGCUGUUCCGGAGAAGGCGGAAGAGAGCGGAACAGCAGCGUGAUCCUGCCGAGCCGAGCAGGGUAGUGUCCUGGCUGUACCAAGAAAGGGGGGCACCAAUGCAGCCCUGUAGGUGCCCAGCUGAGUGCAGAGAUGGGGGGGGGCAGGGGGCCACCAGCUGGUCUAGUUGGUUCCCAGCGACCCUGGACCCAGAGCAAGAGAAAGGAGGAGGCAGCUGCCGGGAAGUGCCUGCACGUGCCUGUCUCAGAAUGCAGGGGAACAUAGAGAGGCACCCCCCCCCCGCCCCCCAUUGCCAGUAAGGGCUCAUCCACCCAUCCGGCAUUCUGCGCUGAGUGGGAGGGAAGUGUGGUGUGUGCGUGGUGGCCAACUGCCGCUCUAAUUCUGCCCCAUCACAGAGCAGGACUCCUUCAGCUCAGCCAAGGGCCCCUCUAGGCACCUGUGUAAAGAGGCAGUGCUGCCAGGCCAGGUCCCUACAGGAUGCCGUAGAAAUCUUAGAUCGCCGCUUGACAGCUGUGGUGAAAUGGUUGGAAAACAACAAAUUGAAAUUGAACUCAGACAAGACAGAAGUGAUGCUUGUUGGGAAGGCAGAGAACUUGAAGGAUACUGUGCUCCCCCCUUUCAAUGGAGUGCGUUUGACCCUUGCAGACUCAAUUAAGAGCCUAGGGGUUAUACUGGAUCCAGCGUUAUUACUAGAAAAACAAGUCAGCAGUAAAAAAUGCUUUCUACCUCACUCUAGCCUGGAAGACGGCUUCUUAUCUCAACACGGCUGACCUGGCCACUUGGCUCCAUGCUAUGGUAACAUCAAGGCUUGGCUAUUGUCAUGCUCUAUACAUUGGCCUCCCAUCUAAGUUAACUAGGAGGCUCCAACUGGUGCGAAAUGCUGCAGCUUGACUGUUAUCAGGAGCGAGCAGGAGCUUGAACAUCUCUCCCAUCCUACAGUCACUCCAUUAAACUAACUAGGAGGCUCCAAUUGGUGCGGAAUGCUGCCGCUCGACUAUUAUCAGGAGCGAGCAAGAGCUUGAACAUCUCUCCCAUCCUAGUCGCUCCAUUGGUUACCCAUCGGCUACCAUGCUCAGUUCAAGGCAUUAGUUAUUACAUACAAAGCUCAGCAGCAGCCCGCACAAGGGCUUUCUCUGUGGUGGCCCCCGCCCUGUGGAAUAGCCUGCCUGAGGAGGUCAGGACUGAGCCCCCACUCAAACAAUGCAAAACCAAACCAUUCAAAAAGGCUUUUUCCUCAAAUGUAUCAUAGGAAUGGGGUCUCAGAUGCUUCGCUAAUGAGUUAGGGACCAUAGACUUCAUCACUAUAUUGCCUUACAUAUUAUCUGCUGCUUUAAAUAUGUAUUCCUGUGUACCACCAGUGCGCCGUGUUGUCUAAUGUUAGUCCUAGAAUUGAUUAUGUUCUGCUUCAGUAUUUUUACUACUCUGUGUUGGACUCUUGCUACUACCAUGUCUUUUAAACUUGUAUCUAUUUACCCUA